rnacentral:rRNA from 1 species
UACGUAGGGCGCAAGCGUUAUCCGGAAUUAUUGGGCGUAAAGAGCUCGUAGGCGGUUUGUCGCGUCUGCCGUGAAAGUCCGGGGCUCAACUCCGGAUCUGCGGUGGGUACGGGCAGACUAGAGUGAUGUAGGGGGAGACUGGAAUUCCUGGUGUAGCGGUGAAAUGCGCAGAUAUCAGGGGAGACCGUGCCGGAGGCGGUCAGCGGGGCCGUA